UACGAAGGGGGCUAGCGUUGUUCGGAAUUACUGGGCGUAAAGCGCACGUAGGCGGAUAUUUAAGUCAGGGGUGAAAUCCCGGGGCUCAACCCCGGAACUGCCUUUGAUACUGGGUAUCUCGAGUCCGAGAGAGGUGAGUGGAAUUCCGAGUGUAGAGGUGAAAUUCGUAGAUAUUCGGAAGAACACCAGUGGCGAAGGCGACUUACUGGACACAUAUUGACGCUGAGGUGCGAAAGCGUGGGGAGCAAACAGGG
rnacentral:rRNA from 1 species